UAGGACCUACGGGGGGCAGCAGUGGGGAAUAUUGCACAAUGGGGGAAACCCUGAUGCAGCGACGCCGCGUGAGUGAUGAAGUAUUUCGGUAUGUAAAGCUCUAUCAGCAGGGAAGAUAAUGACGGUACCUGACUAAGAAGCUCCGGCUAAAUACGUGCCAGCAGCCGCGGUAAUACGUAGGUGGCGAGCGUUAUCCGGAAUGAUUGGGCGUAAAGGGCGCGUAGGCGGCCUGCUAAGUCUGGAGUGAAAGGUACCGGCUCAACCGGUACAGGCUCUGGAAACUGGCGGGCUAGAGAGCAGAAGAG
rnacentral:rRNA from 1 species